CCUGGGGCGCGGCAGGACGCGGGGCAGCCUUGCGCGAAGGGGCGUUUUCGUGGAGCCACCUGCCGCGCCACGCUCCAGUCCCGUCACUUGUGCUCGCGAGCGCCGGUGCGCGCAGGGGGACCAGCGCUCCCUGGGUGGACCGACCCCACCGCUUACCCAUUGCUGGACGCCUGCGUGCACCGACCCCACCGCUUACCCAUUGCUGGACGCUUGCCCUGUUGCCAUCUCCUCGCUAGCGUGAACAGUGCUGCGUGCAGAUCUCUCUUUCAUUGAUUGUUUUGCGUCUGUACCCAGAAGUGGGAUUGCUGGACCAUCUCUGCCCAUUUUAAAAUUGGGAAAUGACAUGAUCUGAUUUAAGCUAUUUAAAAAUCACUUGGGCCUGGGCUCGGUGGCUCACGCGUGUAAUCACAACACUUUGGGAAGCCGAGACAGGCGGAUCACCUGAGGUCAGAAGUUUGAGACCAGCCUGGCCAACAUGGUGAAACCCGGUCUCUACUAAAAAUACAAAAAUUAGCCGGGCACGGUGGCUCCAGCCUGUAAUACCAGCUACUCAGGAGGCUGAGGCAGGAGAGUUGCUUGAACCCAGGAAGCGGAGGUUGCAGUGAGCUGAGAUUGCCUCACUGCACUCCAGCCUGGGCAACAGAGUGAAACAAUGUCUCAAAAAAAUAAAAAUAAAAAAACUGAAUGGUUCCACAGAAAUACUGAGACUUCUGCUUAAACAGGCUUUCUUGAACCUGUACGCUUCCAGUUGGGUCUGCUGCUUCCAGGUCAUUUACUAAAAAUGAUAGGAAGAUUUAAAAAAUAAAAAUAAAAGGAAGGCCGGGCGUGGUGGCUCACGCCUGUAAUCCCAGCACUUUGGGAGGCCUAGGUGAGCGGAUCACGAGGUCAGGAGCUCGAGACCAUCCUGGCUAACACGGUGAAAACCCGUCUCUACUAAUAAUACAAAAAAAAAAAAAAAAAAUAGGGCAUGGUGGCGGGUGCUUGUAGUCCCAGCUACUAGGGAGGCUGAGGCAGGAGAAUGCCGUGAACCCGGGAGGCGGAGCUUGCAGUGAGCCGAGAUCGCGCCACUGCACUCCAGACUGGGCGACAGAGCGAGACUCUGUCUCAAAAAAAUAAAGGAAAAUUGGGCCGGGCGCAGUGCCUCACGCCUGUAAUCCCAGCACUUUGGGAGGCUGAGGUGGGCGGAUCACGAGGUUAGGAGAUCAAGACCAGCCUGACCAACAUGGUGAAACCCCGUCUUUACUGAAAUACAAAAAAGCCUGGCGUGGUGGUGCGCGCCUGUAGUCCCUGCUACUCGAGAGCCUAAGGCCGGAUAAUCGCUUGAACCUGGGAGGCAGAGGUUGCAGUGAGCCAGGAUGGUGCCACUGCACUCCAGCCUGGGUGACAGAGACUCUGUCUCAAAAAAAAGAAAAUCAGCCAGGCUCAGUGGCUCAUGCCUGUAAUCCCAGCACUUUGGGAGGCCGAGGCGGGCAGAUCACCUGAGAUCAGGAGUUUGAGACCAGCCUGGCCAACAUGGUGAAACCCCAUCUCUACUAAAAAUACAAAAAUUAGCUGGUACAUACCUGUAAUCCCAGCUACCCAGGAGGCUGAGGCAGGAGAAUCGCUGGAAUCCAGGAGGCAGAAGCUGCAGUGAGCUGAGAUCACACUACUGCACUCCAGCCUGGGUGACAGAGCAAGACUCCAUCUCAAAAAAUAAAAUAAAAAACAAGGGAAAAUCCACAAGGACAUAGUUGAAUCCAUAAGAAGAAAUGACAGCAGAUAAAUCAGUUAACAAAAGUUCAAGAGCUGGAGAUCAGAUCUUUAUCGACCUGAGAAUAUGGAACACCAGUGCCUAUGUGGAAGGAAACCAGGAAGCAAGUUCAUUUAAUCCA
rnacentral:lncRNA from 10 species